UGACUGAACGAUCGCAAUUGGUGGAAAU
rnacentral:piRNA from 1 species